rnacentral:rRNA from 1 species
UACGUAGGGUGCGAGCGUUAAUCGGAAUUACUGGGCGUAAAGCGUGCGCAGGCGGUUUUGUAAGCCAGAUGUGAAAGCCCCGGGCUUAACCUGGGAAUGGCAUUUGGGACUGCAAGGCUGGAGUGUGGCAGAGGAGACGUGGAAUUCCUGGUGUAGCAGUGAAAUGCGUAGAUAUCAGGAGGAACACCUGCGGUGUAGAGCGGCUUACUGGACGGUAACUUGACGCUGAGGCACGAAAGCAUGGGGAGCGAACAGGGA